AGUGAACGCUGGCGGCAUGCCUAACACAUGCAAGUCGAACGGCAGCACCGUAAGUUCCUGCUGUUACCGAGUGGCGAACGCGUGAGUAAUACAUGUGUACCUGUCCCUUCUUUUUGGUUAGCCCUAAGGAAGCGGGAGUUACGCCACUACCGCACCACACAUAAGAGUGAGGGCCGUGGAUCUUUCGCCCUUUCGGGAUUGCAUGUGCCGAUGUAGGAUUUGCUAGUGGGCGGGGUAAAGGCCCACCAAGGCGACGAUCCGUAGCUGGUCUGAGAGGAGGAUCAGCCACACGGGAACUGAGACACGGACCAGAGUCCUACGGGAGGCAGCAGUGGGGAAUUUUGGACAAUGGGCGCAAGCCUGAUCCAGCCAUCCCGCGUGUGUGAAGAAGGCCUUCGGGUUGUAAAGCCCUUUUGUGGGGAAAGAAAAGCUUCAGCUUAAUACGGUGCGGGGAUGACGGUACCGGAAGAAUAAGCACCGGCUAACUACGUG
rnacentral:rRNA from 1 species